AACGAACGCUGGCGGCAGGCUUAACACAUGCAAGUCGAACGGCUGUAGCAAUACAGCAGUGGCAGACGGGUGAGUAACACGUGGGAACCUUCCUAGGGGUACGGAACAACUCAGGGAAACUUGAGCUAAUACCGUAUACGUCCGUAAGGAGAAAGAUUCAUCGCCCCUAGACGGGCCCGCGUCGGAUUAGGUAGUUGGUGGGGUAACGGCCUACCAAGCCUACGAUCCGUAGCUGAUCUGAGAGGAUGAUCAGCCACACUGGGACUGAGACACGGCCCAGACUCCUACGGGAGGCAGCAGUGGGGAAUCUUGGACAAUGGGCGCAAGCCUGAUCCAGCCAUGCCGCGUGAGUGAAGAAGGCCUUAGGGUUGUAAAGCUCUUUUACCAGGGACGAUAAUGACGGUACUAGAGAAUAAGCCCCGGCAAACUUCGUGCCAGCAGCCGC
rnacentral:rRNA from 1 species